GAAAUGCGAUACUUGGUGUGAAUUGCAGAAUUAAGUGAAUCAUCAAAAUUUUGAACGCAUAUUGCGCUGUUAGCUUCUGCUACCAGCAUGCCUACGUCAGUGUCGGCUCCAAAACCUCACCCCCAAAGGUGGAUUUGAGUGUUUCAGUCUUUUUAGACCGAAUCACUUGAAGUGAAGCGGCCGGGUCUUGCAUUAAGCAGCGAGCCCAACUAGUGUGUUAAGCUCCCGUCAGGGACGAUACCACUGGAAGGUGCAAGUUUGCGCAAAGCUUAGGCCUUCGCAAGGAAAUCACUCAAGCCUCGACCUGACAUUAGGUAAGACUACCCGCUGAAUUUAA
rnacentral:misc_RNA from 1 species